rnacentral:rRNA from 1 species
GACGAACGCUGGCGGCGUGCUUAACACAUGCCAGUCGAACGGAAAGGCCCUGCUUUUGUUGGUUGCUCGAUUGGCGAACGGGUGAGUAACACGUGAGUAACCUGCCCUUGACUUUGUGGUAACUUCAGGAAACUGGGGCUAAUACCGGAUAUGAUCUCCUGCUGCAUGGGGGGGGUUGGAAAGUUUCGGCGGUUGGGGAUGUACUCGCUGGUUAUGAGCUGGUUGGUGGGGUUGUGGCUUACCAAGGCUUUGACGGGUAGCCGGCAUGAGAGCGUGACCGGGCACAUGGGGCCUACGAUAGGGACCAGAAGGCUACCGGCGGCAGCAGGCGGGAACCUUGCACAACGGGCGGAAGCGUGAGGCAGCAACGCCGGGAGCGGGAUGCCGGCUUUCGGGUUGUAAACCGAUUUCGAAUGUGCCGAAGAGUGCGUGACGGUACUGGGUAAAGAAGCAACGGCUAACUACGUG